rnacentral:lncRNA from 1 species
GAGUGGGGCAGUGGAGGGGGAGAGAGAGAGAGAGAGAGAUUGAUGGUUGCGCAAAAAGAAGCUAGUGAACACAGCAGGCAUUGCUCACCUUGAUGGAAUACACACAACAAAACUCUGUCCACCGCCUGGGCUGCCCUUACUUGAGCACACUCCUGGGGUAGUCAGGCCUCACUCCUGGGACAUGGAGCCUCACUACUGCCUGGUGCUGAGAGCCCAGGGGCUCCAGUCAGCAGUGCUGGAAGCAGGGCCAGAAGUGCAGUUAGGACCACAGAGCUGGGUCUUGUUCAAGGACAGGAUGAUCCCCUUAUUACAGCCCCAAGAGAUUGCAGAUCUGGUCUCCACUCUGGAGUGUCAACUGGCACAACCACAGUCCAAUAUCUGGAAGAGUCAGAGCUGAUGAGCUGACAGGGGACCUCUGGGAGCCCCCAACCCUAUCCACAGUGCUAUAAUCCUCCCUCCUCUCUUCUCCCUCCGCUCACCACACCCCUUCUCAUCUGUGGUCCCUUCUGAGUCUGAGCCCAGGAGUUCAAAAACAAAGAUCAGCUGAGAGCAGAAGGAGAAUGACAAUGUUUCUGGGGUCACCGGAUCAUGAUCAUUGGGGCACAAGAUGAUGUCUCUGAGUUUCUUUGGUUGCUGUAACAGCUCACAGUGGAUUUUGGGACUGACUCUGGAUGUAGGUCCUGGGGACUGGGCUUGGCAGGGUGAAUUUGGGUUGGGCAAAUACCCAGGAGAGUGACCAAUGGCAAGACAAGACAAUGAGAGAGGCCGUGAGCUCCAGGGUGAAAGACUGAAGGCUCUUCCUCCAAGAUCAGGAACAAGACAAAGAGACCUGCUUCUACCACUGCUAUUUAACAUUGUACUGGAGGUGCUAGCCAGAACCUUUAGAAAAAAAAAAAGAAAAGAAAAGAAUUAAAAGCAUCCAGAGAGAAAAGGAGGAGGAAGAAGAGGAGGAGGAGGUGAAACUGAUGAUAAAAACCCAUCCAAGAAUGUAAAUGUGACAUCUGCAGCAGGUUCAAAUCUAAGCUAUAAGACAAACGGAAUCCUUCGUAAGGACUGUCAUCUAUUAUGCACAGAGAGCCGAAAUCCAUUACUGAAAUUCUCUUGGUGAGCCACCUGAUGGGCCCAGUGACGUACUAGUACACACAGGAGUUGAAACAAAAAAAAGUCUGGCAUAUUCUUUGGAUGACUGGCAGAGUGUGACACCAAUAUGGUACCCAGCCCUACUAUCAUUACAAGGACUUCAUGACCAAAAAAAUAAUAGAGAAUUGUUUUGGUGGUUAAAACAAUUAAAAGCAUCCAAAUUGGAAAGGAAGAGGUAAAAGCAUCUCUAUUCACAGAAACAUAAUCUUAUUUAUAGAAAACACUAAACCUUCCACACACACACACCCCAAAUAAAACACCUGUUAGAAUUAACAAACAAGGCCGGGCGCAGUGGCUCACGCCUGUAAUCCCAGCACUUUGAGAGGUCGAGGUGAGUGAAUCACCUGAGGUCAGGAGUUCAAGACCAGUCUGGCCAACAUGGCAAAACCCCGUCUCUACUAUAUACAAAAAAUUAGCGGGGUGUGGUGGUACGCACCUGUAAUCAAAGCUACUCAGGAGAUGAAGGCAGGAGGAUCGCUUGAACCUGGGAGACAGAGGUUGCAGUGAGCCGAGAUUGCACCACUGCACUCCAGCCUGGGCGACAGAGUGAGGGUCUGUCUCAGAAAAAAAAAGAAUUAACAAAAAAUUCAGCAAAGUUGCAAAGUGUGAAAUUGACACUCAAAACUCUAUUGCAUUUCUACACACUAACAAACCAUGGGCAACACAGUGACCUCACCCUGUGUCACAGGGCCAGGUACACAGAGGUACUGAGUAAACAUUUUAGUUUUCAUUAAGUGGAUAAAUAAAACCAAAACCUAUUAUUUACCACUCUCCUUUAACACCUCUCUAAAAGCAGAAAGAGAUACCUCCAUGAGGGACUUUGUGACACUUUGGGCAAAACUAAUGCUGGCACUAGUUUGGAUGCAUCAGCGAAUGCUGGACUUCUCACGUUGAGGAUUCUCCAGGUGCCCUCCUUGGGCUCAUUUCUUCCAUGGAGAUAAAAGAGAACAGGGUUUUUUGGGGUUUUGGUUUUGGGUGUUUUUUUUUUCCAGAGACAAGGUCUCAACUAUGUUCCCCAGGCUGGAUGAACUUGGGCUCAAGCAAUCAUCUGGCCUCUGCCUCCAGAGUAGCUGGGACUACAGGCAUGCACCACCACCAUAGCCAGCUGUUUUUUUUUUUUUUUUUUUUUUUUUUACAUAAAUCCUUUCUAUAAUAAACAUUGUCCCUGUGACAGCUAGCGCUCCUCAGUGUUGUCAACUAAGGGCUCACAUACGAGCCCCAUCCAGCCUGUCAUCUCACAUACUGCAUGAAUCCAUUUAUACAAAAUAUCCAGAAGAGACAAAUUCGUAGAGAUAGAAGACUAGUGGUUGCUGGAGGCUGAGAGAAGGAGAAAAAGAGGCGUGACUCCUUCAUGGAUACACGGUUCCUUUAGGGUGAUGCGAUUGUUUGGAAAUAGUGGUAAUGGUUGCACAACAUUGUGAAAGCACUCACUGCCUCUGACUUGUACAUUUUUAGAAACUUAAUUUGACAUUAUGUGAAUUUUACCUCAAAAAAAAAUGCCAUUCUGGACAUAAGGCAGUACCAGCUUUGCCCUAACUCGUCUUCACACAGCACUGCCCACCUUACCGCCCUCUGCGUUCUUCACAGUGUUCUAACCCAACUCCCUUCAGAGCUCUACUGAGAUAUCACCUUCUUAGGGCAGCCUCACAUACCAUUCUCUCUAAAAUAGCAUCAGCCAUCACCCUAUGCCUUCAUAAUAUGUUUCUUCGUCAUAGAACUAUUGCCACUGGAACUAUCCCUAUUUCUUUCAUUUUUGGUGGUUUCUUUUUUGAGCUAGAAGCUCACUCCAUCACCAAGGCUGGAGUGCAAUGGUACAAUCAUGGCUUGCUGCAGCCUCCAUGCUUGGGCUUAGGUGAUCCUCCUGCCUCAGCCUCCUGAGUACCUAGGCAGGUGCCACCACACCUAGCUAACUUUUUAAUUUUUUGUAGAGAUGGGGUCUCACUCUGUUUCCCAGGCUGGUGUCAAACUCCUGGCCUCAAACAAUCCUCCCAUCUUGGCCUCCCCAAAUCCUGAGAUUGCAGGUAUGGGCCACCAUGCCUGGCCUUUUAUCUUUUUAAUUUUUGAAAUGACCAAUAGAAUUUGAGAUGAUGGAAUUAACAUCUUGGUUCAGUGCUGGGUCCUCAGAUCCCAAAUAGCAGCAGGCACACCGUACUUUCUCAGCAAAUGGCUACUAACUUAAUUAACCAAACUAAUUAAAGGAGGAAAGUCAUAUGAUUUUAUACAUAUAUAAUUAUGAAUAAAGAAUUUGAUGAAAUACCUUCAGCAGAAAUUUCUAAUAUGAAAGUAUGACUAAGUAAAAUAGGAUUUUUAAAACCUUUA